rnacentral:misc_RNA from 1 species
GUAGGUGAACCUGCGGAAGGAUCAUUACAAUAAAGGCGCCUUCGGGUGCCGCCUGUCUAACAGGAACCCUUGUAUUUCGUACCAUUCGUUGCCUCGGCGGGCUUGCCCGCCAGCAGAGGCCCCCUUCAAACUCUUUGCAAUUGCAGUAACAGUCUGAAAACAAAAACAAUCAAUUAAAACUUUCAACAACGGAUCUCUUGGUUCUG